rnacentral:rRNA from 1 species
GGAACGUGAACGGCUCGGCGGCGUGCCUAACGCACUGCAAGUCGAACGGGGCGGCGCAGGCUCGAGGCUUUCGGAGCGGAAGCCGGCGCGUGCCCACGUGGCGGACGGGUCGGAGUAACGCGUGGGCGAACCUGCCCUGCGACUGGGGGACGAACAGCCGGAAACGGCUGCUAAUACCGCAUAUGCCCGCAGCCCCGCGAUGGGGCGCGGGGAAGCUCCGGCGGUGCAGGAUGGGCCCGCGUCUGAUUAGCUGGUUGGCGGGGCAACGGCCCACCAAGGCGACGAUCAGUAGCCGGCCUGAGAGGUGGGCGGCCACAUUGGGACUGAGACACGGCCCAGACUCCUACGGGAGGCAGCAGUGGGGGAUAUUGCACAAUGGGGGGAACCCUGAUGCAGCGACGCCGCGUGGGCGAUGGAGUGCUUCGGCAUGUAAAGCCCUAUCAGCAGGGAAGAAAAUGACGGUACCUGGCUAAGAAGCCCCGGCUAAAUACGUG